AUGUCUACGUUGCUGGUUUACAUCCAGGCCGGGUGCCCCCUCUCCUGCAGCGGCUCGCUUGGGCUGAGGUUCCUCGCUAGACCGACGUGCGUCCGGCUGAUGUCUACGUUGCUGGUUUACAUCCAGGCCGGGUGCCCCCUCUCCUACAGCGGCUCGCUUGGGCUGAGGUUCCUCGCUAGACCGACGUGCGUCCGGCUGAUGUCUACGUUGCUGGUUUACAUCCAGGCCGGGUGCCCCCUCUCCUGCAGCGGUGCCAGCCAUCAUCGCCGUCAGACCAUCGUCUUACAGCUAAGCGACCGUGUGAGCAAUAGCCGUAGCUGGUUGAUGCCUUCCAGCAGCAGCUCCCACUGUCGUCCAGUUGUUCGCCUACGCUGGCCCGGAAGGGAGCCGUAG
rnacentral:rRNA from 1 species